rnacentral:lncRNA from 1 species
GAGCCAGGGCCAAUUUCCCGUGGGAUUUUUUCAUUUGAUUAAUAAGGCAAAUCAACUUUUAAAUAGCCCGAUAGAUACUAAUUAUAGUACAUGAAAAUACGUCACAUCAUCUAUUUUCAUACCUGAAACAGGUAUUCCUACAAUUAACAUGGCCAAGACUAUCGAUUGUUUUGGUUUAUCAAAUCCUAUAUUGAUUUUGUUUGUUUAUGCCCCUGAGGAGCAUUAAAAUAUGAUUUAUCAAAUAACGGAUAUAAAAAAAAUAUAUUGCCUUAGUUAGCGUGUUAAUGUUGUAAUGUGAUUUGUAGCUUACA